rnacentral:lncRNA from 1 species
UCACAGCAAGAACUAUUAGCUCCAUCUUCGAAUAUAUUUGAAUUUUGAAAUACGGUUUUAAAAUUCACACAAUCGCCGCAUUCAUUCUUCUCUCUAACAAAAUUCAUAUCCUCUUCUACCUAAAAACCCUACUCAGAUCUAGCAAUGGGUUCUACUCCUACCCAAAACCAUAACAUCAUCUCCUCUAUUAGAUACCAGAUCUAGCGAUGGGGUUUCUUUCCUACCCAAAACCCUAACAUCAUCUCCUCUAUCAGAUGAACGAUUGCGUUCCAGAAAAUCACUAAUGUUCCAGAUGCUUGAGUCACUUCGCAUCAUGAGAGGAUCAGGAUACACUAAACGUGUAUAGUUUGUAUUGAUCUAUAUUUCGUGUGUCAGGUGAUUUGUGUUUACAGGUUAAUUUGCCAUCUGGUACAACUAUACUGAUUGUUAAAAUGAGACGAUACAAAGGGAAAAGUGAAGACAUCAAAAUAGUGGAAAAAGAGGACCUUGAUCUUAAAAGUCAGUAUAUAAUGAUUCUUUUUAUAAUUCAUUCUAUGACAUGAUUUUGUUCAUAAGUUUGCAGGAAGAGCAAAUUCAAGAUUUUAUAGAUUGCUCAUUGCAAAAAUAUUUCUCCUACUUAUGAACUUGUUUGUUAGCCACAACUUUAACCUACCGAAGGAGGUUCUGAUUCAACGGAGACAUAUUAACUUCACUAAUAAAUCAUUUAUUAAUCUCACAAAAGAAUUAUUUGUGAUUCUUACUUUUGUUGGACCUUAGACUACACGGUAUUGGGGCUUAGAACUGGCAUGUAAGCCCCUCCACACCUGGAACAUCGCCCCGUGGAGUGGUAGUGGGGGUAGG